rnacentral:rRNA from 1 species
GAUGAACGCUAGCGGGAGGCCUAACACAUGCAAGCCGAGCGGUAUAGAAUCUUCGGAUUUUAGAGAGCGGCGUACGGUGCGGAACACGUGUGCAACCUACCUUUAUCUGGAGGAUAGCCUUUCGAAAGGAAGAUUAAUACUCCAUAAUAUAUUGAUUGGCAUCAAUUAAUAUUGAAAGCUCCGGCGGAUAGAGAUGGGCACGCGCAAGAUUAGUUAGUUGGUGAGGUAACGGCUCACCAAGACGAUGAUCUUUAGGGGGCCUGAGAGGUGAUCCCCCACACUGGUACUGAGACACGGACCAGACUCCUACGGGAGGCAGCAGUGAGGAAUAUUGGACAAUGGGUGCAAGCCUGAUCCAGCCAUCCCGCGUGAAGGACGACUGCCCUAUGGGUUGUAAACUUCUUUAUAUAGGAUAAACCUCUCCUCGUGAGGAGAGCUGAAGGUACUAUACGAAUAAGCACCGGCUAAACUCCGUGCCAGCAGCCGCGGUAAU